AUUGAACGCUGGCGGCAGGCCUAACACAUGCAAGUCGAACGAGUGGCGGACGGGUGAGUAAUGUCUGGGAAACUGCCUGAUGGAGGGGGAUAACUACUGGAAACGGUAGCUAAUACCGCAUACCAUCAGAUGUGCCCAGAUGGGAUUAGCUAGUUGGUGGGGUAACGGCUCACCAAGGCGACGCUCCCUAGCUGGUCUGAGAGGAUGACCAGCCACACUGGAACGGAGACACGGUCCAGACUCCUACGGGAGGCAGCAGGGGGGAGUAAUGCACAAGGGGCGCAAGCCUGAGGCAGCCAUGCCGGGUGGAUGAAGAGGGCCUGAGGGUUGUAAAGUACUUUCAGCGGGGAGGCGUUACCCGCAGAAGAAGCACCGGCGAACUCCGUGCCAGCAGCCGCGGUAAUAC
rnacentral:rRNA from 1 species